rnacentral:lncRNA from 1 species
GAAUUAAUAUAUGAUGCAUAUGUAUGAAUUGGUGCGGUGGACGCACAGGUAAGAAUUGAUUUAUGAUGCAUAUGUAUGAAAUGGUGCGGUGGACGCACAUGUGAGUAUUUAUUUCUGUUAUGAUGAUGUUGAUGUAUAUUGAGCUCAAAUCCUGCACCAUAGUUUAGUGCUUAUAGUAUUCACCGCAUCGCACGCUCGCCUUGGAUCCAAGUAGAUGCUAGUCGUACAGUCCACGCGGAGUGGGUACGACAGGCCAGUCGCGAGAGUGUUAGUGAGAUUCCGACUGGUGGGUGACCUUAGAUUAUGUGCACAGAUGAUUAUGAGAAGCACUAGAGCGUAACUUAUGUGCAGAAGGCCGUACAGGUCACGCGGAGUGACUCCGGCAGAGUGUGAGAAUGAUAGAUUUUGAGCUCUAGGUUCAACCGUACAGGGCUAUUAGAGGGCCUCCGGUUGAUUACUUUCUUGUACCUGAUAUGAUUAUUGUUGAUGCAUCCAUACUUAACUGUUGAAUUAGACAUGGCAUGGCAUGAUUGAUAAAGAAAAAUGUUGAGAUAGUAAAAAUGAAGUUUUGAGAAUAUAUAUGUAUAUUUAUAUUUUACAUUUCUGGGAAAGUAUACAGGUUUUACGGAGAGGGGUUACAAUGCUUUGAAAAAAAAAUUGGAUUUGAAAAGAAUUGUUUUACUGACCCACUCAAUUUUUGGUUUUGCGCCCCUCCAGGUUAAAGAAUAGCUGAGGUGUGGUGGCUACGAGGAAUUCGACGGUGUCUGACAGAUUGGACAAAAUUAGGACUCCUUCGGGUGUAUCAACUUAUAAAUCUGGGUAUCGGGUUAAUUUACGUAUCUUAAACUCCGCCUCGUGUUGUUCAAUGGUUCACGUCAAUCUUACGUUUGACGGACAGAUGUUCCGGACUCGUUCGUGAAACCUUUCAGUGGACUUAGUCCCUGGUAGUUUAGAGCUAUGGUUGAAAUCUGAACAUCUUGGGGACAUUUGAAAAUGUUCUAGUGAAUUCUGUGGAAACAAUUGAACUAUGAAUCGUUAUUCAAGGACCUGAGUAGCAGAAGUAGGAAAACCAUUUGGAAAGUACUUCCUUAGCUGAGUUUUUAGGGUUUAGGGGGAAACUAUAUUACUAUGGUGAAUUCUAUUUCUAAGGUUUUUUUAAGGGGAUGGGUUAAUGAGUUAAACUUGAACUCACCUUAUUAAAUGAUGAACCUGAAGGGAAGUUUAAAACGGUUUAACCAUUUUGGAAAAGAUUAGAUUAUGCAAGUUAAAGGAAUUUCCUUCUGACAGGGGGUCAGAGGAAUUACCUGGUUUUGGUUUUGGGUAUGAAUUUGUAUCCUGGUGGAAACAGGAUUGUUAAUUGUUGUCACCGGAGAAAACAGCUGAUUGAGAAUUAUUUAAGGACUUGUUUAAGGAAAAGUUUAUCCCUCCGGCAUUUAUCGAUGGUAGUAAGCAAGAGUUUGCAAAUGUGAAUCAAGGAAGUUGACGAUAAAUGAAUAUUAUAGAAAGUUUUCAGACUUGCCUCGUUCCAUCCAGAUAUUUGAGACAAGGUGUCUCGAGUAAAGGAAAUGUACCUUGUGCAGCAGGUACAAAAAUUAACACUUUGGGAAGUGUGAAAUUAAUGAAUGUGUUUAUGUGAACAGAGGGGACACAGAAUUGUGAAUCGUCCCUAAAAUCAGUUGUACCCAACAGUUUUCUAUGACAUCGUAGUAUCGAUUCAGCAGGUUUAUGGAUUUAGUAGUUUGGUCGGAUUGACCGUGGGUACAGAGAGAUUUGAUGAGUUAUAUGUUCAGCCAUACAGGCCACGAGAGGUGGAUUCGACUGACACAUGAGAAAUUGGUGAGUUAUAGGCUCGGCCGUACCGACCACGCGGAGUGGAUCCGGCCGACGUAUUAUUGAGAUAAGAGUUGAAUCAGCCGUAUUGGUCAUUCUAGUUGACUUCGGCUGAUAUAUUUCUUAUUAUGUAUGUUAUUACCUAGAGAGUAGUAAAUAAAUGUAAUUGAGACGAGUGAAUGUAUUUUACAUUGAGUGACAAAAUAGUAAUGUUAUAUCUUUGAGAGUGGUUGCCUACUUAUCGAGACAACGAUGAUUUAUCAGUAUUGCGGGCUGCAGACCGUAAUAUUAAUAACUCAUUCGUGGAUUCGUUAAGCAAGCAACCCGGUAGAUUAUUUUAUGUUAGUAUUGUACUUAUUUAGAAUGCUUAAUAAUAAUAGAAUUUAUAUUGUAUCAGUUAAUUUUAUUCCAUUAGAUUGGUUGUUUAUAGUUGUGACUAGAUGGAAUGUUACGGGAAACCAGUUACUUUCCAUCGAUCUGGAUGACCAAAGAUUACUUUUGUAAGUAUGCAAAGUGGAUUGAGUCAGGCCGUUAUUUAUACUGUAAGAGCAAAGAGAUUGUUUUCGAAAGGCUGUCAAAAAUACUUAGCUCAUGUGGUGCUAAAUAAUGUUGUUUGGAGUAGUGUGAAUAAUGUCGAAAGGGUUAGACUUUUCUUGAUGUCUUCCCUGAAAGUAUACCUGGAUUGUCUUCAGGCAGAGAUAUGAGGUUCACUAUUGAUUUGUUGCCAGGUAUAAAUUUAUGUUAAAGAUUGGUUCAUGAUGAGUUAAGGGAAUUGGAAAUUCAGUUGAAAGAAUUGGUUGAUAAAAGUUUUAUUCAACCUAGUACAACGCUUUGGGGGAACCCCAGUUCGUUGGUGAGAAAGAAAAUGGAUUUUUAAGACUAUCCCUUGAUUAUAGACAAUGGAAUCGGGUAACGAUUGGGAACCGUUAUCCAUGGUGAUGUACUGAUGUUUAUUUAACCAGCUCAGAAGUAAUUGCGAAGAUUCAAAGAUUGAAUUGAGAUCUGGUUACUACCAAUUGAAUAUUAUAAGUGACGUUGAUCAUAAGAUGGUUUUCUAGACUUGUUAUGGUCCUUAUGAAGUUUGGUGAUGCUAUGUGGAUACUCAUGCUGUUUUAUGAGUUGAUGGAUGAAGUAUUCCAAUAAUGCCUUGAUAAAUUGAUAUCAUUUUCAUUGAAGAUAUUCUGGCAUAUUCUGAACCAGAGCAGAGCAUGUAAAUGUAUUAAGUCGGUGAAGCAAAGAUUGAGAGAACGUUGGUUGUAUGCUAAGUAGCAAAUGCUAAAGUUAGAUGAAUCAGGUGGCAUUCUGAGAUUUGUUAUAUAUUCUUAAGGUAUUCAAGUGAAUCCUUAAAAGGUAGCAGAAAUUAAAAAUUUGGAACAACCACAAGCCAUAAUUGAGAUUCGGAAUUUCUUAGCUUACCAGGCUAUCUUGGAUGGUUGUGAAAGAUUUUUCAGUCCUUGCUUUGUCAUUAACGAGACUGUGGAGAAAAGAGGUUAUGUAUGAGUGGGAAGGAAAUUGUGAGCAAAGGAUUCAACAACUGAAGUAUUUCCUCACUCAUGCACGUAUUUUAGUAAUCCCAGAAGAUAGCGGUAAUUAUUGGUUUAUGGUGAUGGUACAUUAAAUAUUCUUGGAGAUGUAUUGAUGCAAAUGUUAGGGUGAUUGAAUAUGUUUCACGACAAAUGGAACCUAAUGAGAUGAAUUACCCUACUGGUGACUUGGAAGUCACGAUUAUCAUCCUUGCUGUGAAGUUGUGGAGACAUUAUAUGUUGAAAAGAAUGCAAGAUUUUACAAAUCAAAAGAGUCUCCAAUAUUUGUUUAUUCGGAAGGAUUUUGAUAUGAGGCAACAAAGGUGGAUUGAAUUACUUAGUUAUUAUGAUGGUACGAUCAGGGUGAUCGUGAAUUGUUGUAGCUGAAGCACUUGGUGAGAAGACUACAGUAUGAUUAAUGUCUGGCACGUUUGCCAAGAGUAUCAUCUUGUGGAUUGAAAACCAACGGAAGAAAAAUUAAGAAUGGAAGAUCGAGAAGAAGUUAUACUUGUUAAUUCAAGUUAGGCCUGUUUGGUAAGGUUGUACUCGAAACUUAAAUGUUUGACGAGGAAUUUAAGAAUUAACCAAGGCAAGGAAAGAAAGGAAAAAGAAUGAGUACAUGAUUCGUGAAUCAAAUGGUAUGUGGAUACAAGAAAGUAAGAAGUAUGUACCGAAUGCUGAGGAUUUAAAGCAAGCAAUUUUGGACGAAGUACACUGUACAACUUCUGCAAUAUUCCAAAAGUAUUGAGAUCUAGUAUACCAUUUGACGUUUUUAUUGGUCAACAGAUUGAAGUAGAAAGAAGUAAACCUUUGGAUUGAGACGGUUAUUUUCUGUUUCGCAGUGGAAAUGGAAAAAUAUUACUUUGGAUUAUGUGUACAAGUUUCAUGAUACAUAGGAUGGUUAUGAUUGAAUUUGAAGCGAUAGUUGGUCAAUGUACCAAGUUAGUACAUUUACUCCAGGGUUGAGUAACGGUACUUAUUUGUUUUAUAGAAAGAAGAAUUGGUUUACGGAACUGCUAAGUUUCUUAAGUAUGUUGGUUGCGCAGUUUCCGAAGUGAAGCCAUAAGGUUCAUGAAGUGUGUCAUGUGUGUGUUUUGUUGACUUGUGAAUGGAAUAUUUCUGGGUAGAGAAAGAUUCGAUCAAGAAAGAGUUUUAGUAGACCCUGAGACUAUGGAUGAGUCUCCUCAAAGUAUUCAGGUGAUUAAGUUAACCUGAAGAAACCAGGAAUGGCAAAAGAGAUCAACAGAUGAAUAUACCACUAAUCGAGUGUAUAACGUAGAUGAUUUUAUAUUUUUGGAAAUUUCACCAUGAAAAGAAAUAGCAAGAUUUGGAAAGGAAGACAAGAUAAGUCUUAGACACAUCAGAUCGAUUUGAUCACUAAAGGAAUCGAUGAAGUUGCAUACAAGUGGUGAUGUCUUCAGAGUUGGCUAAGGUACUUAAUGUAUUUUGGGUUCGAUACGUUGUCACUAGGUGGCAAAUUCGUCACAUGAGAUCCUGAUGCAACUAUUGAGAAUUAAAUUGGAUUCGACUUGAUAAGGAACCAAGGAUGACUUUGGAUUGGAAAAAGAAGGUCCUGAGAAUUAAGACAGAGUAAGUGGUAAAAGCUUUGUGAAGGAAAUCAUUCAGUGGAAAAUUAUGUGGGAGGAAAAGAAUCGGAUGAGAGAUUUUUUAACCGAAGCUAUUGUUGGAGUAUGGUUGAUUUAGUUGGUUGCUGGAAUUUCGGGGACGAAAUUCUAUAAGGAGGGAAGAUUGUCACAGCCCGUCCCGGAAUUUUAAUUCCGAGGACGUGAAAAGACCAAAAUGCCCUUAAGCGGGACUAAGGGCGCGAAAAUUUAACAAUUGGAUUUACAUUAGUAUGUUUAAAGUUGUGUUUGGGAUUUAAGUAGGGCCUCCUACCCUGAUUCCCUCCCCAAUUCCCGUAUACUGUCAUUCACUCUCUCUCUUCCCUCACGACUCUCUCUCACUCUCAGUUCUCUCUCUCUUCCUCUCCGACGCUCAACCUCACCCAAAACCACCUAAAACAUAAACAAACGUCCAAGAUAAAGACCACAUUUGGACUCCUGGAACUUCCACAAUCACGUAGACAUCAAUUUCAGGUAAGUUCUACUUCGGAAAACCCUAGUUUUCAAAGUUCCCGUGAAAUGGCACUGUUCAUAAACUCUUAAAUGGUGGUGUUUUAGCUUAAAACAAGAUCACAGUGAGCUUAAGGAAGUCCCAAGGAAGCUCGGAGUGCUUCGUUGGAAGUUUUUGGACGUAAGAACACGGAGAUCGACAAGUUCAAAGUUUGGCCGGAGCUUUCGAGGCUCUUUCCGGCGAAUCCCCGGCGAGUUAGGAGUCGAGGUAGGUAUCAAUCUCUUCGUCUCGUCAAGUACUACAACUUUCCUUUUUGUUUCACUCAAUUUUGUUGAGUAUUGAAGAAGUUAUACUCAUUUGAAAAAUACCCAGUUUCCGGCGACCUCCGAGGCUUUCGAGGCAGUUUCCGGCCAAACAACGGCGAACUAGGUGUUGUGCAAGGUACCAUUCUCUUUGUCUCUUCAAGGGCUACAACUCUCGUUUUUGAAUCACUUGAUUUCGUUGAGAAAUGACAAAGUUAUGGCAAUUUGAAAAACUGCCCGGAAAACGGCCGCCGGAAAAACCAGUCCGGCGACCCAAGGAAGAAGAAGGUGCUACAGUAAAAAAAUAAAUAAAUAAAAAUAAAAUUAUUUUAAAAAUAUGUCGACGUCCGUGACGUCGAGUAGAUCACCGUGGUAUAUUCAUAUACCCAAAUUGAGCACCGUAUGAGAAAGUUAUUAAGGAUUGUUGGUUAGGUGUUCGAAUAACGUUUUAUAGUUUUCACAUUUAGGUAAAAAUGUGAAUUGACGAUCCGACCGUUGGAUCGUUACCAAACUUUGAUACGUUGUAAUACGUAAUAUUCGAGGAUUAUUGGAACUUACGGAUUGGGAAUCCGAGUUACGGAUCUUCCGGAAUUGGAAUUGUAAGUCCAUAAUAUAAAAUGUUAACCGUCACUUAGUUUUGGAAAUUGACGGAGAUCCGACCGUUGGAUGGUGAUGAAAUUUUAGGAUGUUGUCCUAGAGAUAUAUUGUGGACCUCUGGAAGUUAUGGAUUUAAAAUCUGAGUGGCAGAUCUUCCGGAUCGAACUACGUAGUGACGUAUUUUAUAUAAGUUAUAUAUUCUAUCGAUAUGAAUUCUGAGGUUGGAUUUGAUUACUAUUCUAGGCGGCGAUCGUCGUGACGCCUUGAUGUGUGGUGCUAAGGGAGUUGUUGGACGAACUCCAGGUGAGUGGGCAGUUUUGUUUUCCGUAUAUAUAUAUAUACUUGACGUUUUCCCAGAAAUUGAAUUGAAAUGAAAAUAUGUUUAAAAUGAAAUGCAUAUGAGUUAUGUGGAAAAACGGGAAGUGAAAUACCAUGCAUAGAAUUGAUAUGAAAAGUAUAUAGAAAUGUGAGUUGAAAUGCCAUGCAUGAAUUAAUAUAUGAUGCAUAUGUAUGAAUUGGUGCGGUGUGGACGCACAGGUAAGAAUUGAUUUAUGAUGCAUAUGUAUGAAUUGGUGCGGUGGACGCACAGGUAAGAAUUGAUGAUUUAUGAUGCAUAUGUAUGAAAUGGUGCGGUGGACGCACAUGUGAGUAUUUAUUUCUGUUAUGAUGAUGUUGAUGUAUAUUGAGCUCAAAUCCUGCACCAUAGGUUUAGUGCUUAUAGUAUUCACCGCAUCGCACGCUCGCCUUGGAUCCAAGUAGAUGCUAGUCGUACAGUCCACGCGGAGUGGGUACGACAGGCCAGUCGCGAGAGAGUGUUAGUGAGAUUCCGACUGGUGGGUGACCUUAGAUUAUGUGCACAGAUGAUUUAUGAGAAGCACUAGAGCGUAACUUAUGUGCAGAAGGCCGUACAGGUCACGCGGAGUGACUCCGGCAGAGUGUGAGAAUGAUAGAUUUUGAGCUCUAGGUUCAACCGUACAGGGCUAUUAGAGGGCCUCCGGUUGAUUACUUUCUUGCACCUGAUAUGAUUAUUGUUGAUGCAUCCAUACUUAACUGUUGAGAUGUUGAGAUGACAUGGCAUGGCAUGAUUGAUAAAGAAAAUGUUGAGAUAGUAAAAAUGAAGUUUUUGAGAAUAUAUAUGUAUAUUUAUAUUUUACAUUUCUGGGAAAGUAUACAGGUUUUACGGAGAGGGGUUACAAUGCUUUUGAAAAAAAAUUGGAUUUGAAAAGAAUUGUUUUUACUGACCCACUCAAUUUUGGUUUUGCGCCCCUCCAGGUUAAAGAAUCAGCUGAAG